GAAGCCAAAUUUUCGCGGCCCCUUCACCCUCUCGUCACAACACUCUGUUGUUGCCAAUCUAUUUCACUCAGCAGUCGCAGCACUCAAAACCCUAGAGAAGAGCGUGCAAGUUCCGGCUACCCACCCACCAUGACAUUCAAGCGCAAGAAUGGAGGCCGCAACAAACACGGCCGCGGUCGCCAUUGCCCUCUCCAACCUCUCCCUCCCCUCCAACUACGUCGUCGCCAUGGUCCUAUCGCGCCUCGCCCACGGCCUCUCUGCCAAAACCCUAGCCUCCCGCUAUUCCCUCGAACCCUACCUCGCCUCCAAAAUCACCAACAUGGUCAUGCGCCUCCUCGCCACCAAGCUCUACCCGGAGUUCAUUAAGAUCCCGGUGGGGCGGCGUCUCCUCCUGGAAAUCGCUCAGGCCUUCGAGGAACUCCGUCCCCAACAUGUGUGGUGCCAUCAACACGACCCCCGUCCACCUCCGCUCCAACCCUAACCCCAACACCUACCGCCACCCACUUCCGCAUAAUAGGAAAAUGGGUACCAUUAUGUGUUUAAUGCUUCCAGCAACAUUCUUUCUAGUCUUGGGUCUAAGUUUAUAUUUCUUGAUGGUCAUGAUUAUAGCUAUCAAGAAAGAAUUACAGUUAAUGGUAAACUUGGUACUUCAUGGAAAAAAAAGGGACAUGUGGUUUCUUCUGAGUUUAUUAUUAUUAGUUAACACAAUCCAAUUUUUCUUGGUACCAUUGUUUUGCUCUUAGUAUGAUAUUACAUAAUUUACAUUAGAUUAAUACUGUUAAAUUUAUCCUUAUCAUUCCAGGAAUCUGUUAGAUUAACUUCUUAUAAAUCAUUGCAGCAAAGUAUGAUGUUGCAAUAUCAACAGCAUGUCCUGGACUUCAUUAUAUUGUGGUGGAAACAACAAAUGUAGCUCAAGCAUGUGUUGAGUUACUUUGUAGAGAGAAUCUUGGCAUUGCUACUUUCAUGAUAUUGGUUUUUUUUAUAUUAUUCAAUUUAUUUUUGUCUCUUAAUGGCUGUUUAAUAUAAUUAAUGGCACAAAUUAAAUUUGUUUACUUUUACUUCUGUACCCUUGGAUUUAUAUAAUCAUGACCGAGUUUAUGAUCUAGCAUAUAUCUGCUAAUUUAAGGGCAUGUUUGGUACAGGGGAAUUUUUCUGUUACUAUUUUUUUUUACUAAAUUUCAUUAUUUCUUGUUUUUAAAGAUUUAUACAGGAAAUGGCGAAAUCACUCCUUAACUUCUUACUAACAGCUUGAGUUUUUGCCACAGCUGGUCAACGUUUUGAGCUACUUGAAGUUAAGAACAUGGUGUUAAUAGCAAUUUUAUGUUGGUUUGGAGGUGGUCUACUCCUGGGUAGCAUCCUUUUAAAUCAAAGUUGGGGAGUGAAAGCAAGCUAGAUUCUGUCAAGUUUCAGUUUAUAAAAUAAUGCCCUUGAUUGAAUACAAUUUUUUUGUCAAUGAUUGAUGAUAUAUUCAGUUAUGUAAUGUUUUUGAUGUGCUGAUAGUACGCAACCCAGGUGUUUAUUUGAUAAAUAUAAUUUGGACAUCAUUUCUUUAUUCAGGAGAAGCAAGUUGACCUUCUUCCAAUGUUGAGAAAGAAAGUAAACACUCCAGGGGGGUUCCACGGCUUUUUGAUUUAGUGAAAGUUCAAGAUGAAAGAAUGAAGCUUUCUUUCUUUGCAGCAGUUAGAAACACUGUGGUUGCUAAAGAUCUUGACCAGGUACAAAACAAGUGGAACCAUGUAUGUGUCAAGUUAGAGCAAUUCUGAACAAAUUUAUUUGGCAUUUUUGUGAUUCAAUGGAUCUGCUUUGUUGGUCCCAGGUAGAACACGAAUCUAGAAGGGGCGGUUGAAUAGAUUCUACACUAAAAGGCUUCUAUUGGUUUUUCUUGCUUUCUUGCUAAUUUCUUUCUUUCUUAUACAACUUUUUAUUAAUCACAUUCAAAUUACAAACCAAAUAAGAUACAAAGUAUAUCAGAUUUACACAGCGGAAUAGAUAUUGUAAUCCAAAUUGAUUUUAGUAAUUACCUUCCUUCACUUUAUUACCAAAUUGCAUAUAUCAUAUCAGAUUUCACAAAUCAGCAAUCUAUAAUAUUCAAGAAAACAUUUCUUUUACUUUCUUGAAAUUAUUUUUAACAAUUCAAUAUGAAUUAUAACAAGAUAUGAAGGUAGAGAGAGAAAUUUCAAAGUGAUCUAUAUUGGUUCAGCCAUAUAAAGGCCUAUAUCCAGUUUUCGACUUAGCUCUCCGCUAAAUCCAGUCUUUUUACUAUAAUAUUCUUUACAAACACCAUGUACAAGAAGUAUUAUAAUCAGAAAAUACAAUCACCUAAUCUUGAUCCCACAAGAUUAUACAAUCACCAGAAUUCUUGCACCUCAAGAAUCCACUUGAUGAAACCUACCUCAAGAUUUCUCUUUCACUCUUACAUGAGAUACCCUUAUCUCAAAGAGUCACAUACCAUAUUAUACCCAACUAUACAAACAAGAGUAACAAGAUCAGAAAAGAUACACCUGUAGUGCAGAUUGAUCUUACACAAUGAAUUGUUCAACUUUCUUGAAUUUCUUGAACUUAUUUCAAGAUAACAUCUUAAUUUCUUGAGUUUCUUUACUCUUAAAUUAUUCUGAAAAUAUUUUAUCUUCUCUCAAAAAAUGAUUUUCUGAUUCUUGAAAAUGUUUUUCUUUAUAUCACUUUUUCCAUGUAUCUUUUCACAUUCUUUUUUUAGUUUUCAAAAAGAAUUAUAUUUAUAGAGAAAAUAAGAUUUCAACAUUAAAAACUCGUAAUAGUAAUAAUCUAUUACCAAUAUCAGGUAAUCUAUUACCAGUUUUUAAUGAGAAUUGAAAUCUGUGAAAUAAAAAUAGAGGUAAUCGAUUAUUGGUCUUGGUAAUCGAUUAUAUCGAGUCCUAGAAAUUAUAGAACUCAUUUUUCAACAGAAGUAAUCGAUAACUGAAGUUGGUAAUCGAUUAUCUCGAUGAUUUUUCAACUUGUUUCACUUGUUUUCACUCAAAAGUCACCAUGGUAAUCAACUACAUGAAUAGGUAAUCAAUUAUCAUAGAGAGGAUGUUGAAUUCCACUUCAAAACUAAGUUUCAGUAAUCUAUUACCUCACAUGGUAAUCUAUUACCAGACUUAAUCAUGAAUUCUUUUGAAUGAACCAAGUUUCAUUUUAUGUCAAAAUACAUUGUAAUCUCUUACAUUAUGUUUUCACAAGAAAUGAGAAACAUUAAGUUGAAAUAUGAGUUUUAUGUUUUCUAAAAUAAGAUGUAAUUUUGAAAUUAAUUCAUCACAAUAAGCAAGCACAUCCAAGCCUAAGUCUAAUAACAAGCAAUACAUUAUCUUUUUCAACAUAGGCCAUGAAAUACAAAAAUGAAUGAAGCAAACUAAAUAAAUCUAUACAAAUUUAAUGCUAACAUCAUCAAGACUAAAACUUCUUCAGUCUUCAUAAAGAUCUUCAUGAGAGACUUCAGUAAUUGACUCAGUAAUUAACUCAAGAAUCUUUAAUAAACUCAACAAUCUCAACAUGCUUGUCUUUUCUGACACAAAACAUGUCUUUUGUUCCUUUUAGUUGAAUGUAAGUACUGAGGAAGUUUUUUCAUUUCAUCUAUUAAGGAAUCAUAUAGAUACAAGCAAUUAUUAAAUAUCAUAAAUGAUAUAAAAUCAAAAUGUGUCUUUCAGACUAAGUACUUCAUUUGACUAGAUAACUUGAUCGUCUUAGUGUCCAAUUCAUCUCUGUGCUUUAUUCACAAAACUUCUCAAGAAAAACAUCUAUAUUUAUUGAAAUUAAAACAUGAACUUUUCAGUUUAUUUUUUGACCUAACUAUAUAAUAAAAUGAAUUUUUAAUUUAUUAAAAUCUUUCUUAUUAGAAAAGUUAGAAUGUACUUUUUUAAUUAAUAUGCAAGUCAUUUUGACACUAAGUCUUGGGAUUUUUAUCAAGUAUCUCUUCCAUGCUUUUUGAUUUUAUAAAGAGUAAAUUCCAUCAACAUUUUCAACAGUGUUAUAAAAUUGUGUGUGUUGUUACAUUAACAAUUUUUAUUAAAAAAUUGUCAAUAGACUAACUAAUUGUGAAUUGAGAAAAUAUGAGGACCAAAUAUGCAAUAAAAAAAUUGAUUAAAACUAUACAAUUAAAAAAUCACAAGAACAAAAAUUGAAUUAAAGUCAUUUUUGUAUUUGAUUCAUGUUUAGAAAUUCCUUAGAUGUGUCCAUUUGAUUAUGUCUUUUACUUGUUCUUCUCAGUUUUUUCUUUUCUUAUUUUCUUUCAUUUGUCAAACUAUUUAAAUCAUCUUACUUUAACCUUUGAUAUAUUAAUUUAUUCUAUGUCAAAAUGACCAACAUUCUGUUUUUUUUUCCAAAUGAUUGUAAUUUUAGUUGAAGUUUCUUAAUUACUUUCUUUUAUUUAUAUUAAUUGGCUUGCUUUUCUAUUAGUCUAUUUAUCAAUUAUAUUUGAGAUAUUGGUUUGGAGGAGAUUUCUUUUCAGGAAGCGAUAACAAAAGUCAAUAAUUUGCUUAUCUGAUAGAUAAUAUUAUUUCAUAAACUCUAACUAAAUUUUCGAUGAACUGGACAGCAUAUACAUUAAAUUUUUUUCAAUUUACCUUGAUUAACUAGAUUGGAAUUAAUUUUCAUUUUAGUUUAUCUUUCAAAGAUAUGAUAAUAAAAUUUAAAAAAAAAAAAAUAAAAAAAAAAAAAAAAAAAAAAAAAAAAAAAACAACAACAACAACAAUGGAUGAUACAAGUGGUUGUGUCAUGUGUUAUUUAACUAAGUUGUCUAUGGAAUAGAUUAUGGUAAGAGAAAAUUCCUUUUCAGGAAGCGAUGUCAAUAAUUUGCUUAUUUAUUUAUGUACAUUGAUUUUUUUUU